rnacentral:rRNA from 1 species
AUUGAACGCUGGCGGCAUGCUUUACACAUGCAAGUCGAACGGUAACAGGCCGCAAGGUGCUGACGAGUGGCGAACGGGUGCGUAAUGCAUCGGAACGUGCCCAGUCGUGGGGGAUAACUACUCGAAAGAGUAGCUAAUACCGCAUACGAUCUGUGGAUGAAAGCGGGGGACCGUAAGGCCUCGCGCGAUUGGAGCGGCCGAUGUCAGAUUAGGUAGUUGGUGGGGUAAAGGCUCACCAAGCCAACGAUCUGUAGCUGGUCUGAGAGGACGACCAGCCACACUGGGACUGAGACACGGCCCAGACUCCUACGGGAGGCAGCAGUGGGGAAUUUUGGACAAUGGGCGCAAGCCUGAUCCAGCAAUGCCGCGUGCAGGAAGAAGGCCUUCGGGUUGUAAACUGCUUUUGUACGGAACGAAACGGCUCUGGUUAAUACCCGGGGCUAAUGACGGUACCGUAAGAAUAAGCACUGGCUAACUACGUG